rnacentral:rRNA from 1 species
UGGGGAAUAUUGCGCAAUGGGCGAAAGCCUGACGCAGCGACGCCGCGUGAGGGAUGAAGGUUUUCGGAUCGUAAACCUCUGUCAGAAGGGAAGAAACCGCACUGUGCUAAUCAGCAGUGCCUUGACGGUACCUUCAAAGGAAGCACCGGCUAACUCCGUGCCAGCAGCCGCGGUAAUACGGAGGGUGCAAGCGUUAAUCGGAAUUACUGGGCGUAAAGCGCACGUAGGCUGCUUUGUAAGUCAGGGGUGAAAUCCCACGGCUCAACCUUGGAACUGCCUUUGAUACUGCUUAGCUUGAAUCCGGGAGAGGGUGGCGGAAUUCCAGGUGUAGGAGUGAAAUCCGUAGAUAUCUGGAGGAACAUCAGUGGCGAAGGCGGCCACCUGGACCGGUAUUGACGCUGAGGUGCGAAAGCGUGGGGAGCAAACAGG